UCAUUAGAUGGCUGAAAGCAAGCUAUGGUCUCUUAAACCAAAAAAAUAGUAAAUUAGCAAUUACUUCAAUGAA
rnacentral:tRNA from 1 species